rnacentral:rRNA from 1 species
UACGAAGGGGGCUAGCGUUGUUCGGAAUUACUGGGCGUAAAGGGCGCGUAGGCGGCGUGUCAAGUCAGGCGUGAAAGCCCCGGGCUCAACCUGGGAACCGCGCUUGAGACUGGCAUGCUCGAGUUCGGGAGAGGAUGGUGGAAUUCCCAGCGUAGAGGUGAAAUUCGUAGAUAUUGGGAAGAACACCGAUGGCGAAGGCAGCCAUCUGGACCGACACUGACGCUGAGGCGCGAAAGCGUGGGGAGCAAACAGG